rnacentral:rRNA from 1 species
GAGCUUAAACCGGAAAAUCCCUUUCCUCACAUGAAGAAAGGCUGAAAGACGGCUUCCCAUUAUAAAUUCCCAAUGGGCCCUCGCUGCAUUGUGGGGUUGGUGAGGUACCGGCUCACCAAGGCCACGAUGUCUAGCCAACUUAAAAGGGUGAUCGGCCACACUGGGACUGAGACACGGCCCAAACCCCUACGGGAGGCGGCUUUAGGGAAUCUUCCGCAAUGGACAAAAGUCUGACGAACCAACGCCACGUGAGUGUUAAAGGUUUUCGGAUCUUAAAACUCUGUUGUUGGGGAAGAACAAUUAUCGGAUUAACUGCCGGUUCUUUGA